UUUUGCUGCUUCACUUGUUACCUCCAACAUCUAAGGAGGGAAGUCUUCAAAGAUUAGCACAUCAGAUGCUGCUCACCACCUAAUGAAAUUCAUCAAGGUGGGAGGUAGCACGGAGGCUUUUCUUAAGGCUGGCCCCACUCAGCCAUUCGUCCUGUGUGUUGGAGAAAGAAAGAACAUCAUCCAGAGUUUCUACAUUGUCCUAGAUCAAAAGGUCAUUCCCUGUGUGACACAGAUGGGAGUUGCAGGUUUUGACAAGGCAAAACUUUUCAAGGCACAUUUUUUAUUUGCCGUGUCCUUUGACAAGGCAUUGAACAACUUCUACACAUUCAUCCAGACCACCGUGUAUGGCAUUGAUGUUGGCAGUGUGAAGGAGAGUCCUCGGGUCAGGGAAACAAGAGGAAGUCUUCAUUGUACAGUUUAAAGAUAUCCACUAUUCAGCACUUUGACUGGAAAUGUUCAUCUGUUACAUUUGCAAGAUACACCACACAAGUUGCUCAGUGUUAUUUAGACAUUUGAAGUUCCAGCAUGGUUUGUACCCAGGAAGGUUUUUACGUUUGACCUGUGGAGAGCCUGGAUGUUCAUUCAUCUUUCGCACGUACUCUGAUUACAAGCGGCACUUACUCCGAGCACAUGGAGACUGUCUUCACUCUGAGGUCAUCAAUACUUUUGAGCCUGUACCUAACGAUGGAACCUCUGUUUCACAGCCUGUAAAUGUGGCUCAUCCCAUGACAAUUACUACACAGGUUCCAGUUGAAAAAAGGCAAAUACUGAACAUGUGCAGCUCUGUUAUUGCUCAGGUACAAUCAUUAGGAGUUCCUGAAAGUACUGUGCAGUGUUUAGUUGUUUCAUUGGAGGAACUGGUUAAUGACAUCCAUGCGCAUGCAAAACAAUCUGUUGUUGACUGUUUGUCAACUGAUACCAUGAUACAGACAUCAAGUUGGGAUGUAUGUUUGUUCUGGUGUUGAAAAUGAGAUGCCUUUGUUCAGUAAGAUUGUCAAUAUAAUUAUUAGAUUGCAAUGCUUAUCUUCUAACUUGUAAGGCUUCAACAGUAUAUUUCAAUGAGCACUUAAAUGCAUUUGUUAUUGAGGAUGGAUUAGAUGUCUUUGCACUGAUCUCUGUAGAUGAUCUAGUGUACUAUAGACCUUAUGAUAGGCAAUUUUCAAAUGGCACUGAUGACAAAAUGUACAUUGUCCCAUACUGUAAUUUUGUAUAACUUGUUUAUUUGUGGUGUAUCAGAAUACAAAGUGUUUUGGAACGUUAA